GUUUGGAAAUGAUUGCGCUUGCAAUGAUGUCAUUUCCUUGCGGAUGCCUGUAGCAGUUGACAGCCAAGUUGUUGACAAUUUGCUUCCACGGUGAAAUUGUUCUCUCUUUGUCCUUAUUGGUGUAGCAGGGGAAAAGAAAGUAUUUCAACGGAGUGCAUGGGACGUGAUGCAGCUCAACACAGAUUGUAAUGGAGGACGAUGCUAAGGAGAGGAUGAUGGAACAUGCUGACAGUCACGGUGUGCGGCCUCACCAUGGAAAAUUACAUUGAAAGGUUUGUUUUACUUUCACUGUCCAAACAGUAGGCUACAUACAAUGCAUACAAAUUAUAGUACACCCCUUUGAAAAGUAACAUUUUGAACACAA